GCCUGUGGAGGAAAAAAUUAAAAUAAGAAUCUGCUUAGUGUCAAUAGGGGUUGAAGAAAAAAAAAGGGAAAAUAAAAGUGCUGGAUAUGACUACAAGCAGUUUAAAAUGAAAAAAAAGGAGCGAUAUUGCCUACGCCUGAUCUACAAUCCUGAUCAUGGAGGCCCACUGUCCAGCAGAGCUCAGCUCCAACCCCAAUUAAACACACCUGAACCAGAUAAUCAAUGAUUUUCUUUCAUCUUCAUAACACAAAUUAAGAUAUUAUGAUGAAAUCUGAGAGGUAUCUGACUCGUCCAUAGCAAUUUAACCAAAACUUUCAAGGUGUUGGUUAAAUUGCUACCUAUGGAUGAGAAUAUACCUCUCGGAUUUCAUCAAAAAUAUCUUAAUUUGUGUUAUGAAGAUGAACGAAGGUUUUACAGGUGUGGAACGACAUGAGGGUGAGUAAUUAAUGACAGUAUUUUUAUUUUUGGGUGAACUAACCCUUUAACACUGGGGGUUUUGCUGUGUACCAUGAAAAAGCACUGAGCUCUGCAUUUAUAGAUUAUAAAGGUAUAUGAAACAAACCCAUCAAGUAAUAUUUUUGUAUUUUGCAUUUGUAUGAUAUAAUUGUCACAGUUAAGCCGCCUUUCCACUGCACACGACAAACGACAGCCGUUGGACCGGAAGUCAUUCAUUUCCAAUGGAGAGUAGUACGGGGGCUGCGUGGAGUUCCGAUCAUAUGCGAAUGCGGAAAUUUCGGAUCCGAUUUGAGCUUCGGAUGCGUUGAAAUAUUUGAACUUCUGCGGCUAGACCGUAUGCGACCGGCCGACCGGAUAUGAUGUAUUCUAGUCAAAACGAUGAGCACGAAGUUAGAAUUACCAAUAUUUUAACACUUUAACGUUAUUAUAUAAACACUAUUUCUUUAAAAUGGUGGUUAUCAAUAAUUAUGUAAAACAAAAAAGAUAUUUUAUGAUUAUUAAAUACAUUUUUACGUUGAAGCUCUAUAAAAUCUACUACUAUGUUUUUAUUUCAGAUGUAUUGAGGGUCAUUUGCUUUGUAUGGAUAUAUUCAUAAAUGCAUUAACGUUACAUUCAUUAAAAUCGUUCAGUUUACCAUGGUGGUUGCUGGAUUAGAAUAAGCCGAGGGUAACGGUUGCUUCACUACCAAUUUCAAAGUUCCGUGCGACUGCCGCUAGGGGGCGAAAUGCGACAAUUGGAUGCGAAUGUCGUGUGCAGUGGAAAGGCGGCUUUAGGCUCUUUAGUUCAUUUUCAUGGACUUUUAGUUUGUGUCUCUUCAAUCACAUGUCUCUUUUAUUAAGUCCCCACCACAAUCUGUCAUUGUCAUAGACAAUGAUUCAAUUAUUGCACUAGUCCUAAAGAUUGCUAUCUGUGUAUUUUGUUCUUCAGAUGGAUAUGAGGAUGGGAACAUGGAAACAGGCCAUCCUCCGCCACACAAUCCCCACCAUGCAGCCUUGCCUAGAGACUAGCCAGGCAUGUGAUGCCAGAGCCCACCGCAGACAGGGAGCUUUCAUCUGCUGCGAUGAAUGAUCCAGAGCCUGGGAGGAGAACAGCGCUGGCCAUUGCCCCAGAGCCGAAAUCCCACAAUAAGUCUGAAGAGUAUGUGAUCUGAAACUAUCUGUUCCUGUGGGAGUUUUGUGCAUCUAGACAAUGAGGACUGGUUGUUCGAUUGGGAAACUAAGAUUCAGCCAGUCCUUCAGCCUCAUGUUCACUGAUUCCCUUCAACCCAUCAUCUCAACUAAUGCCGAGCCACCGGUCCAUGGGUUGCCAGCUUCGCCCAAGUAAGUCCUCCUCCGGCUGCUGGUCCCAUAACUCCAUCCGUCAACCUGUCACCUCCAACUUGGCUCCACCAGGCUCCCUUGUCCCUGCGGCUUCACCUUCGUCAACCAUCACCCUGCCUGCGCCACAGACUCAAGAGCCUUCCACAUUUUACCACCUUGGACAUUUUUCACUGCAGCUACACCAUGUAUCACUUGGUCCUAUUUGCUCUUUGUCUGUGCCUAGGGCUCUACUGUCAAUGGCUUCUCCGUCUGUCGUCCUCUGGUUGUCAUCAGCCAAGACUCCAUCAUGGCUCCUCCCUCUGUUGACUCCGUCAUGGGCUUGUAUCCUGGCUGUGCUCUGUUGUACCACCUGGCCACUCUUCCCAUUCUCUCCUCCCUGGUCUCAUCCACCAUCAUCACCACCACCACCCUUCACCAAUCUUUCAUCCACCUCCAGAACCUGCUCAGCCAUUUUACAUCACAACGCCUUCUCCUCGGAGAGCAUUCUGUCACAGUUUAGUGUCAUUUUCACAGAGUUUUUGUCUCUUCAGUCACACAUCUCUUUUUUUCUAAGUUCCCACCACAAUCUGAACACGAUUUGAUCAUCACACCUGUUAGUCCUGUUCAUGAACUCUGUGUAUUUAGUUCCUCAGUUUGAUCUGUUCAGGGUCCUGUAUGUGUGCACAACUUGUGGAGUUUACUCAUUGUUUGGAUUUCCUGAUUUGAGUUAUUUAAUCAGUCUUUUAUCAUUUGACCCUUUUGGCAUUUCAUCAUCAUCGGACUAAAAACAUGAAAGUAAUAUGGAGUUUUUUUUUUUUUU